AGGGGUGCCAGAGCGGCUGGAGCCGGCGGCAAGUCGCGCGAGAUUGGAAGAUGCGCUGCCACUUCCUAGGAAGGGCGUCGAGCCGUGGAGCACCUGUGAGCCGGCGGGUUCUGGUGAAGGUGUUACAGAAAUGCAAACUGCCUCUUGUACUUUCGCUCCGUUGGUGAUGCAGCAACCAAGUCACUGCUUUCUGGGUUUGACCCUUUACAGAACCGACCACUGUAUAUGUUUCACGCUGUUUUAAUCGAGAAUGGGAUAUUAUAGAAACUGAGGAGCAUUAUAAGAGCCGAUGGAGAUCUAUUAGGAUUCUGUAUCUUACUAUGUUUCUUAGCAGUGUAGGAUUUUCUAUUGUGAUAAUGUCAAUAUGGCCAUAUCUCCAAAAGAUUGAUCAGACUGCUGAUGCAAGUUUUUUGGGCUGGGUUAUUGCUUCAUUUAGCCUUGGCCAAAUGGUAGCUUCACCUAUAUUUGGUUUGUGGUCUAAUUACAGACCAAGAAAGGAACCUCUUAUUGUUUCCAUUUUCAUUUCGGUGGCAGCCAACUGCCUCUAUGCAUAUGUCCAUGUUCCAGCUUCUCAUAAUAAAUACUACAUGUUGGCUGCUCGUGGAUUGGUAGGAUUUGGGGCAGGAAAUGUAGCUGUUAUUAGGUCAUAUAUUGCUGGUGCUACCUCUCUUCAGGAAAGAACAAGUUCCAUGGCAAACACAAGUGCAUGUCAAGCAUUAGGCUUUAUUCUAGGUCCAGUUUUUCAGACUUGUUUUGCACUCAUUGGAGAAAAGGGCGUGGCGUGGGAUGUCAUUAAGCUGCAGAUAAACAUGUACACAGCACCAGUUUUACUGGGCGCCUUCCUGGGAAUUUUAAAUAUUAUUCUGAUCCUUACUAUAUUAAGAGAACAUCGUGUGGAUGACUCAGGACGACAGUGUAAAAAUAUUAAUUUUGAAGAAGCAAGUACAGAUGAAGUUCAAGUCCCCCAAGGAAAUAUUGAUCAAGUUGCUGUUGUGGCCACCAAUGUUCUGUUUUUUGUGAUUCUGUUUAUCUUUGCCCUUUUUGAAACCAUUGUGACUCCAUUAACAAUGGAUAUGUAUGCCUGGACCAGAGAACAAGCUGUAUUAUAUGAUGGAAUAAUACUUGCUGCUCUUGGAGUUGAGGCAGUUAUUAUUUUCAUGGGGAUAAAAUUACUUUCCAAAAAGAUUGGCGAGCGUGGUCUUCUACUGGGAGGACUCAUCAUUAUAUGGGUUGGCUUCUUUGUCUUGUUACCUUGGGGAAAUCAGUUUCCCAAAAUACAGUGGGAAGAUUUACAUAAUAACUCAAUCCCUAAUACCACAUUUGGAGAAGUAAUUAUUGCUCUUUGGAAGUCUCCAAGAGAAGAUCACAGUGAAGAACCAACUGGUUGCCCCGUUGAACAAGCAUGGUGUCUCUAUACCCCCAUGAUCCAUCUGGCCCAGUUCCUCAUAUCAGCUGUGCUAGUUGGCAUAGGCUAUCCAUCCUGCAGUGUUAUGUCCUAUACAUUAUAUUCGAAAAUUCUGGGACCAAACCCUCAGGGUGUGUACAUGGGCUGGUUAACAGCGUCUGGAAGUGCAGCACGGAUCCUUGGACCUGUGUUCAUCAGCCAAGUGUACACUGCCUGGGGUCCACGGUGGGCUUUCAGCCUAGUGUGUGGGAUGGUGGUGCUUACCAUCACACUCCUGGGUGCGGUUUACAGAAGACUCGUUGCUUUUUCUGUAAGGCAUGGAAGGAUUCAAGAGUAACCCAGCUAAGACUAUGUGGAAAGUACUUGUGUGGAACUUUCUCUUUUUUAAGACUCUUCUUGACAACUGCUAUGAGUCAGUUUCCUAAAGUCAGUUUGAAGGGGGAUCUUCCUGACUGAGGGAUCAAAACCACAUGUCCGGUGUCUCCUGCAUUGGCAAGUGGAUUCUUUACCACUGAGCUGCCUGGGAAGCCAUCUUGGUCCUUCAAAAGAUCCAGAACUAUUGGAUGUCUUUUCCUUAAAGAAGUGAAAAAUAUUAGCAUCGUUGUUUGUGGUCUGUCUCACUUAGAGAUAAAAAGAUGUCUAUGAUUUGCUUCAAAACACUCCAGGGCACUGGGGGAAUAAGAAGAGUAAGAUGAAACUAUUUGACCAUGAGUUGACAGUUUUGAAAGACGAUUGGCUGGUUUCUAGAUAUAGCACCCUAAUCAUCUGGUUCCUCAACCUCUGCGUAGACUCAGCAACCUCCUCCCUCCUCCCGCCUCCAGCCAACCCCUGAGAGCGAAGGGCUGGAACGGAAUCCCGCCGCAGCUCCCGCCGGAGGUCGCCAUAUUUCCAGGCCGCGGCCCGUGCUCCCCGGAUCAGCUCCCUUCACGCAGUUCCUUCGAGGCAGCACUCCAAGCAGCCAGCGGGUCUUGGCGCCCAUCAGGCUUGGCUCUCUAGGCCGCCGCUCUUGGCGACGACAGCACAGCCACCGAAAGGUCUCCCGGACACCUUCCGAGGCCUGGGCGGCGCCUCCGCGCUCCCAUUUUGAAAAACUCCCGCCGGUGGCUGUCCUCAGAGGUUGGAGGUGACGUAAGGAGGCGGGUCGUUCCGAAGAGGCUGAGCGGGGCCGAGCAUGCGUGGUAGGCGCCUUAGCCCGCCUGCCCCUGCACGAGGACCGGAAGUGUUUCGGCGUCCUGCAGCUUGGCCGGAAGUGUUGGCAGUUCGGCAUUUGGGGGACCUGCUCCAGACGGAUAAAAAAGAAAUUUCCAGCUACACAUUUUCAACUCCUUUCAGUAAAUACCAAGGAAAGCAAUUUCUGGAGCAUAUGAAAUCCAGCAUUCUGUUCAAAGUGGAACAAGUCAAACAAGUGGAACAAGUGGAACAAGUGGAAACAAGUGGAACAAGUCAAACAAGUGGAAUCAAAAUGUCAUAAAUUUUUUAGGCAAAAGGUUGGGUUCUCAGGAUAAAUGCUCACAGUUGAAGUAAACGUCCUCAAGUGGCUCACGUGUAUCUGUCCAUGGUUGAAUAGUCUGCCUCCCAUACUGAAAGUUUCAAGCUUUUGGACAGAACUGAACAGUGUGAACAAGUCUGGUGAUGAAGCUCGGACUAAAUUCUUAAAGUGUCUUAGUUUCACAGUCCCUCCUCCCAUAUAACUUGUAUAUGAAGCCCCAAAACUGGAGCCAAGGUCUGAACAGGUCAUAUGACAGCAAGAACUAUAAUUUAAUCACAUCGUAUCAUAUCACACUAUGUAACACUCUGUAUUUUGCCUGUUGAUAUGUAACAGUUUAUUACAAGCAUUAUUUCCUAAGA